rnacentral:lncRNA from 1 species
GAAAAUUAACUAAGGAAAUUGGGACCUCUGCUGCCAUGAAGAAAAUAAAUGAGACAAUGUAGAGUCAUUAUAAGAAAACUGGGUGGUCUACAAGAAAGAGAGCAGAUUGUGCAAACUGACAUUUGAAGAAUCAGCCUGAAUGUUGUUGCCUGGGACUAAAUAAUGGUUCCUGGAUAGCCACUACCCACUACCAGCUUCAGUUUAUAGCAAGAAGUGGGAAGGGCAGCUCUCUUGGGCAAACAAAUCUCCUGGCUCAGGCUGUUCUCUGUGGUUUGAAUUUUUGGUACCAUUAUCUUAACCCACUGAACUUCCUGACUUCUCAGCUCUCUCCUGCUUUUACCUCCAGGAUGCUUUUGCUUCUCUCCAUCUUGUCUAGCUUCCUGAAUUCUACUCUCUUGUUUUUAUUUCUGACCACAAGUAACUAUGUUUGCACAUGUAGUGGUUUCCCAACUUCUAAAUGUUAAGGAGCUUGGGGCCUGUAUUCCAAGUUUGCAAGCAUGAGCCAUGGGCCAAAUCUGACCUGCAGUUAUAUUUUGUUUGGCAUAUCUAGGCUUUAUUUGCAUUGUAUUUUUGAAAUUGAAUCAAUCACUCACAUUUUAAAAUUUUUGGAAGAUUUUGCAUUAAAAUCUAAACUUCUGAGUUCCCAUGAGAAGCUGAAAGAUUUUCCAACUAGCAUGUAGGCAGGUAUUUCAGCUUCUACUUUUAGUUCACAGUCAUUUCCACCCUGCCUUACUUCUCUUGUGUUUAUAUUGUUAUAAGUAUUUUUAAGAGUAGAGUGUCUAGUAUAACAAAGUACCACAGACCUAGUGGUUUAUAAACAAUAGAAUUUGUUUCUUAACAUUCUAGAAGAUGGAAAUCUGAGAUCAGAAUGCCAGUGUGUUCAUGUUCUGGUGAGGGCUCUUUUUCAGAAAGAAGACUAGAAUGUUCUCUGGGGUCUCUUUUAUAAGGGCACUAAUCCUAAUCACAAGGGUUCUAUUCUUCUUACCUAAAUUAUCUCCCAAAGACUCCCAUUCUUCCAGUACCUGGGGGUUAGAAUUUCAACAUAUGAAUCAUAAGAGGACACAGACAUUCAGUUCAUAACAGAAAUACUUGAGAAAUAAAAUUCUUAUUUUACCCUAGUCUUCAUACUUUAAAAAAAUGUGAUGUCCUGUAGUCGUAUUAGCUAACCACCUGAUUUCCUUAACAGCUCUUGAACUUGUGACCUUUGGGGUAGACCUAACUAGAUUUUGUCUCUAGGUUUGGGUCUAGAACUGCUGCUUGAUGCUUCUCAGUUUUUGCCUGUA